rnacentral:rRNA from 1 species
CUGGGCUUGACAUGUGAGUGACCGGCGUGGAAACACGUCUUCCCUUCGGGGCACUUUCACAGGUGGUGCAUGGCUGUCGUCAGCUCGUGUCGUGAGAUGUUGGGUUAAGUCCCGCAACGAGCGCAACCCCCGUCGCAUGUUGCCAGCAUUAAGUUGGGGACUCAUGCGAGACUGCCGGUGACAAACCGGAGGAAGGUGGGGAUGACGUCAAGUCAUCAUGCCCCUUAUGUUCAGGGCUACACACGUGCUACAUUGGCGCGUACAGAGGGCUGCGAUACCGCGAGGUGGAGCGAAUCCCUUAAAGCGCGUCUCGGUUCGGAUUGCAGGCUGAAACUCGCCUGCAUGAAGGCGGAGUUGCUAGUAAUCGCGGAUCAGCAUUGCCGCGGUGAAUACGUUCCC